AGGGGUUACCCCCAUUUGAAUAGAUGGCGGCCAUGUUGGUCGUUCCCACUUGCUAAUAAACGCUUAAAAACAACAAUAACUUUCUUUAUUUGAAUAGUUUAAAAACGUAUUUGGAAUAGGGUUAACUUAAUGUUUAAGUUCCCUGUUUAAGAAAUAGAAAACAUACGAAUCUUCUCAUUUCAUGGGAACGACCUGAGACUGCAAUCACGGCUUCACUUUUUGAAUUGCA